rnacentral:rRNA from 1 species
GACGAACGCUGGCGGCGUGCUUAACACAUGCAAGUCGAACGGAAAGGCCCUGCUUUUGUGGGGUGCUCGAGUGGCGAACGGGUGAGUAACACGUGAGUAACCUGCCCUUGACUUUGGGAUAACUUCAGGAAACUGGGGCUAAUACCGGAUAGGAGCUCCUGCUGCAUGGUGGGGGUUGGAAAGUUUCGGCGGUUGGGGAUGGACUCGCGGCUUAUCAGCUUGUUGGUGGGGUAGUGGCUUACCAAGGCUUUGACGGGUAGCCGGCCUGAGAGGGUGACCGGCCACAUGGGGACGGAGAUACGGCCCAGACUCCUACGGGAGGCAGAAGUGGAGAAUAUUGCACAAUGGGCGGAAGCCUGAUGCAGCAACGCCGCGUGCGGGAUGACGGCCUUCGGGUUGUAAACCGCUUUCGCCUGUGACGAAGCGUGAGUGACGGUAAUGGGUAAAGAAGCACCGGCUAACUACGUG